UACGGAGGGUGCAAGCGUUAUCCGGAUUCACUGGGUUUAAAGGGUGCGUAGGUGGGCUGGUAAGUCAGCGGUGAAAUCUCCGAGCUUAACUCGGAAACUGCCAUUGAUACUAUCAGUCUUGAAUACCGUGGAGGUCAGUAGAAUAUGUCAUGUAGCGGUGAAAUGCUUAGAUAUGACAUAGAAUACCAAUUGCGAAGGCAGCUGGCUACACGAAUAUUGACACUCAGGCACGAAAGCGUGGGGAUCAAACAGG
rnacentral:rRNA from 1 species